AUCUUAUUAUUCCAUGCUGCAGUAUUCAAGGCGACAAGCCUGCUUGAAACACUCUAAUUUUCUCAAAGUAAAAGUCCUGGAAAAAACUCCACACAAUGAAGUGUGGAGAAAUCCAGAAGGAUGCUAGAAUUCACCAAGUGCACACCCCUGAGGGCGGACUGGCUGCUUCCAGCAGAAAUCCAACUACGAGCUUUUUAACUGCAACAACUUUAAUAUACGCUAUUGGAGCUGGAAUUACCGCGGCUGCUGGCACCAGACUUGCCCUCCAAUUGUUACUCUGAAAGGGGUUUGGAUU
rnacentral:rRNA from 1 species